GAUCCGGUGAGUUGUUGGGGUUCAUUGUAAGAGAGGAAUCGAGGUUGAUCCUGCAAAAAAGAAAAAAAAAAGAAAAAAAAAGGAGAAGUGCCUGAACCGAGAACAAAGAAAAAGAGGUUCGUGGUUUCUUAGGUAGAUUGAGCUACAUGUCAUGGUUCACAUCUCAUCUAACAGCCACGUGGGAACCCAUUCAAGAAAAAAGAUCAAAC
rnacentral:lncRNA from 1 species